UGCCAGCAGCCGCGGUAAUACGGAGGGUGCAAGCGUUGUUCGGAUUUAUUGGGCGUAAAGCGAGUGUAGGCGGCUUAGAAAGUCGGAUGCGACAUCCCAGGGCCCAACCCUGGAACUGCAUCCGAUACUGUUAAGCUAGAAUUCCGGAGAGGGUGGCGGAAUUCCCGGUGUAGGGGUGAAAUCCGUAGAUAUCGGGAGGAACACCAGUGACGAAGGCGGCCACCUGGACGGUAAUUGACGCUCAGACUCGAAAGCGUGGGUAGCAAACAGGAUUAGAUACCCUGGUAGUCCACGCCGUAAACGGUGAGAGCUCGUCGUAGUGGGUAUUGACCCCUGCUGUGACCAAGCUAACGCGUGAAGCUCUCCGCCUGGGAAGUACGGUCGCAAGACUAAAACUCAAAGAAAUUGAUGGGGGCCCGCACAAGCGGUGGAGCAUGUUGUUUAAUUCGAAGCAACGCGCAGAACCUUACCUGGAUUUGACAUCUUCGGAAUCUCCCUGAAAGGGGAGAGUGCCUUCGGGAGCCGGAAGACAGGUGCUGCAUGGCUGUCGUCAGCUCGUGUCGUGAGGUGUUGGGUUAAGUCCCGCAACGAGCGCAACCCUUAUCGUUAGUUGCUAGCAGUUCGGCUGAGCACUCUAGCGAGACUGCCGGUGUUAAACCGGAGGAAGGUGGGGACGACGUCAAGUCCUCAUGGCCUUUAUAUCCAGGGCUACUAACGUGCUACAAUGGUCGGUACAGAGGGUCGCGAACCUGCGAAGGCAAGCCAAUCCCACAAAGCCGGCCUCAGUUCGGAUUGAAGUCUGCAAUUCGACUUCAUGAAGGCGGAACCGCUAGUAAUCGCGGAUCAGCAUGCCGCGG
rnacentral:rRNA from 1 species